rnacentral:lncRNA from 1 species
UUCUGACGAGGAAGCAACUGGGCGGGUCCAGCCCCCAUCAGGUGGUGCCCAGGGAGGCAGUCCAGGCACCCGCCUGGCCUGGCUCCAGGCUUCGGCCACAGUCUUCCACCAGGAUGUGACUGAAGGCCUGGCCGAGGUCUGCAGGCCACCUGGAGGGCACCUGGAGAGCCAGGAGCGUUGCUGGGCCCUGGGUCUACCCCACGACCCCUCUGCCUCUCCCCAGGCUGUGAGCUCCCCGAGGACGACGCCCCCUCUGCUUACACCACCUGCAGGCGCUCCAGCCCCGGCACUGGAAGGCCUUGGCCACCGACACAGCAGCCUCAUCUUCUGGCUGGAUAAACUCACCUCAGAGCCAAGCGGCCCCGGAGAAGCUGCCUCUGUGGCCCGGUCUGCAGGGUGGAGUUACCGUGGGUCCCUCGCAUCAGACAUCUGCCUGCGGACCAGACACCUGCUCUCCUCCAAGGAGCCUCAAUGUCCAGAGAAGGGAUCCUGCGGUGACCGAGGGACAGGCCUGUCUUCUGGGUCACCACAUCUUGGCAUUUAUUAUUUGCCCCCAGGAAGGUCUGAAGGAUUUUACUUUUAAAAACCAUAGUCAGCCGGGCGCGGUGGCUAACGCCUGUAAUCCCAGCACUUAGGGAGGCCGAGGCGGGUGGAUCACCUGAGGUCAGGAGUUCAAGAACAAUCUGACCAACAUGCAGAAACCCUGUCUCUACUAAUACUACAAAAUUAGCCAGGUGUGGUGGUGGGCGCCCGUAAUCCCAGCUACUUGGGGGGCUGAGGCAGGAGAAUUGCUUGAACCUGCGGGGUGGAGGUUGCAGUGAGCUGAGAUCACACCAUUGCACUCCAGCCUGGGCAACAAGAGCGAAACUCUGUCUCAAAAAAAUAAAUAAAUGAAUGAAUAAAUAAACAAAGUUGUUUUGGUUCUUCCAUUUUCCACACAUUUCCAUAUGAAUUUUAGAGUCAGUUUGUCAGCUUCUACAACAAAAGCCUGCUGGAAUCUUUAUUGCAAUUACAUUGACUCUAUAGAUCAAUUUGAGAGGAAAAUGGCAUCUUAACAAUUUGGAGUCUUCCAGCCUAUGAAUGUAGUAUACCUCUCCAUUAAUGUAGAUCUCAUUUAUCUCAGCUGUGUAUUUUUAAUGUACAGGUUUUUCACAUUUGCGUCAGAUUUAUCCUUAAGUAUUUCUUAAUUUUCAAUUGCUGGUUGCUAGUGUAUAGAAAUA